GUUACGGUGGCCUAGUAGUUAGAGCGUCCGCCUCGGAUGGGGGAGGUCGUAGGUUUAAUUCCCGGUCGAGUCAUAACA